CCUACGGGUGGCAGCAGUGAGGAAUAUUGGUCAAUGGGCGCGAGCCUGAACCAGCCAAGUAGCGUGAAGGAUGACUGCCCUACGGGUUGUAAACUUCUUUUAUAAAGGAAUAAAGUGAGGCACGUGUGCCUUUUUGUAUGUACUUUAUGAAUAAGGAUCGGCUAACUCCGUGCCAGCAGCCGCGGUAAUACGGAGGAUCCGAGCGUUAUCCGGAUUUAUUGGGUUUAAAGGGAGCGUAGAUGGGUUGUUAAGUACGUGUUGAAAGUUUGCGGCUCAACCCCGGCCUGCCGUUGAAACUGGCGGCCUCGAGUGGGCGAGAAGUAUGCGGAAUGCGUGGUGUAGCGGGGAAAUGCAUAGAUAUCACGCAGAACUCCGAUUGCGAAGGCAGCAUACCGGCGCCCGACUGACGCUGAGGCACGAAAGCGUGGGUAUCGAACAGGAUUAGAUACCCGUGUAGUC
rnacentral:rRNA from 1 species